AAAGGGAGACCUAAUUCAGGUAGGAGACGAAAAAAAAGUAGUCGCUACCAAGAAUCAAUCCCAAAAGGUCGGAGCGAGGCGAAAUUGGCUUUCAAACUAGGUUCUGGGUUCACACAAGACCUGAAUCAGGAACAAGGGCUAUUAGCUCAGGUGGUUAGAGCGCACCCCUGAUAAGGGUGAGGUCCCUGGUUCGAGUCCAGGGUGGCCCACCUGCACAGGUGGAAGAAAGAAAAGAAGCUCCGAAUCAGCACCUUAUCUUACUUAUAUAGUAAGAGAGAAUGCUGGCUCUGAGUACAGAGUCCAGAGGAACCUUGAAAACUGCAUAGAGCUAGGUGAAAAAGCCAAAAAAGAAGACCGCAAG
rnacentral:tRNA from 1 species